CGAGUGGAAAUUUCGGGGAUGUUAGUUGCAUCGCACAAAUAUCUCCAAUAUUUUUUCCAGACCAAAUAUUGAAUGUUAGGACUCGCAUGAGUCAUUAUGCACGUUUGGUGAUAUUCUUUGGGUUUGCACUCGUCUAGAUUUCUAAAAUAUAUCAAAGUCACCCUGGAAACCGGAAAAAAAUUACCGCGUUUAGUGUUAAUUGCAAGCUGCUUUGUCAAACAAUUCUUUUCGCAGAACGUGAUGCUUCAAGUAGAUUUGGAGUUCUGGCACAAGUUGCUGAGGAAAUUAGAGGAAAAGGAACGAUAGCAUAUAUAAAUUGUGGGGAAAGCAAAGAUACCAAAAAAUUAUGCAAGAAGCUUAAAGUUUCACCACAACCUGUUGUGCUUAAGCAUUACAAAGAUGGGAACUUCAAUAAAGAUUAUGAUAGAAAGAAUACAGUUAAGGUAUACUAAGUGUUUUAUCCUGCGAUAGUGACACUGUUGUCGAUGUAGUGUUUAAGUUUAUCUAGGGCUGGGCAAUGUGAUACAGGUAUCUCUGAGAACAAGAAGUCUAAUAUUGUAUAUACAGUCUGUGUAAAAGUUUGGUUAUUAAAACUGUAUAGAUUUGCUG